rnacentral:rRNA from 1 species
UACGUAGGGUGCAAGCGUUGUCCGGAGUUAUUGGGCGUAAAGAGCUCGUAGGCGGUUUGUUGCGUCGGCUGUGAAAUCCCGAGGCUCAACCUCGGGUCUGCAGUCGAUACGAACAAACUAGAGUGUUGCAGGGGAGACUGGAAUUCCUAGUGUAGCGGUGAAAUGCGCAGAUAUCAGGAGGAACACCGGUGGCGAAGGCGGGUCUCUGGGCCGAUACUGACGCUGAGGAGCGAAAGCGUGGGGAGCGAACAGG